rfam:Beta vulgaris subsp. vulgaris Bvchr1.sca001.con0375.1, whole genome shotgun sequence.
UAUAAUAAAUACAUUUAAUAUUUAAAAACAAAAAUGGGUAUACGGGCCGGGUUUGGGUUUGAAUCUAUCAUACCUAGUUGGCGGCGGAGAAAGACUCGGCAUUCAGGCGAGCCGCCCGGUGGUGUGGUACGUAGUGGGUUUAGUACGCUCCGCCAAAACGGCUCCGAAACAAACAAAAAGGUGCGUGCCGCACUCACGAGGGACUGCCAGUGAUAUACUGGAGGAAGGUGGGGAUGACGUCAAGUCCGCAUGGCCCUUACGGGCUGGGCCACACACGUGCUACAAUGGCAAUUACAAUGGGAAGCAAGGCUGUAAGGCGGAGCGAAUCCGGAAAGAUUGCCUCAGUUCGGAUUGUUCUCUGCAACUCGAGAACAUGAAGUUGGAA